GGUGUAAAUAUAACUCCCCAUUGAGAAAUAUAAUUUCUAACUAUAUAUUAAUAUUAUGGAGAAAAAGAAUAUUAAUGUUAAUUUUGUGAAGUGUUUGGCUAUGGCCAUGAUAGCAUUGUGCCUUGUUAUUUCUUUUCUUCCAUCCACUUUUGCAAUUGAAGGUUCUCGAAAGAUACUUUCUUCGAAUGAUGACAAUGAUAGGGUUUCUCUGUUCAAUAUAUUAUUGAUGGAAGGAAACCGUGUUUGCGGUUUGUGCAAUAACUUUAAAUGUCCCCGUGGAUGUAAUUGCUAUCCCGCAGAGCAACCGGUAGGACCUUAUUGUGCCGGAACAUGUUGUUAAGGAGUAAUAGUACUUAUUUUGUUUGACAAUAUAUAAUAUAAGUAAUAUUUACUAUGUUACUUUGGAAAAAAAAAUUAAAAUGUUGCCAAACAAUAAUUAUAAGUAUUUAUGAAUAAGCAAUAUGCAUGCCUAUAAUUUUGGUUAUAGGCGUGUUUGGUUGUAUGGAAUAAAUGUAUGAGAAGGACAUGAUGAUUACCUUUUGUAACCAAUAAGGGCAUACUUGUCAUUAUCCAAAAUUUAAUGAAUAGUAGCCCAGCAGUAAUUAAGAAAAAAGAAUUGUAGUAAUUAAUUUGUAACUUUAAUUUUAAUAAUUUUCUUUUAAGUAUUUUGCUGCUAAA